CGCGAAUGAGACUCCAUUUCCACAACCGUGGGCUCUUAUCGGCUGGGCCGUCCAGAAAGCGUAAGGAGCCAUCCGCGCCGGCGGCUCCUAAAGCCGUUGAGCCAUCGGUUUUAUCCAACCGGCUUCUAGCCGGGUACAUGGCUUAUGAGUUUCUAACAAAAGGGACUCUGUUGGGCCGGAAGUUCGACCCGGCUCGAGCCGACGCAAG
rnacentral:misc_RNA from 1 species